GACGAACGCUGGCGGCGUGCUUAACACAUGCAACUCGAACGGAAAGGCCCUGCUUUUGUGGGGUGCUCGAGUGGCGAACGGGUGAGUAACACGUGAGUAACCUGCCCUUGACUUUGGGAUAACUUCAGGAAACUGGGGCUAAUACCGGAUAGGAGCUCCUGCUGCAUGGUGGGGGUUGGAAAGUUUCGGCGGUUGGGGAUGGACUCGCGGCUUAUCAGCUUGUUGGUGGGGUAGUGGCUUACCAAGGCUUUGACGGGUAGCCGGCCUGAGAGGGUGACCGGCCACAUUGGGACUGAGAUACGGCCCAGACUCCUACGGGAGGCAGCAGUGGGGAAUAUUGCACAAUGGGCGGAAGCCUGAAGCAGCAACGCCGCGUGCGGGAUGACGGCCUUCGGGUUGUAAACCGCUUUCGCCUGUGACGAAGCGUGAGUGACGGUAAUGGGUAAAGAAGCACCGGCUAACUACGUG
rnacentral:rRNA from 1 species